UAUUAAAUAAUAUUAAAUGUUUGUGGCUUCGACGUUUGAUGAAGUGUACCUUCGAAAAAAAUCACGAGUGUUCAGGCGCUCGUGCUGUGUCUAACAAUAAAUGGAAUAUUUCAAAUAAAAAUUCUUUAAUUUUAUAUUGUAUAUAAGUGUAUUUUCAGUUAAACGUAGAAAAUUUUUAAAACAAUUAAAAAAAAUGUUUCUAUUUGAAAAAAAGUUUAUUGUUUAACCAUAAAAACCGUCACUUUUUAAGUUUUUUCAAAAAAUAAAACUAAUAAUCCGAUUUAAUAAAUUCGAUAAAAUUCUACGUUUAACUGAAGACAAUUUUGUUAUGAACAUUCUGUCCAAAAAUCACGUCAUUCGGAUAAAAUUCGACAGAGAUAUGCGAGCACCUAGCUACGAAAAUGUAGUUUUGAAGAAAAAUGUGUUUAAAAUUUUAUCGAUUAUAUUAAAAUAAAUGAAUUCUCUAUCAUAACAUUUUAAGGGUAUAUUUUUAAGACUCCAAGGAUUACAAAAGUGCAAAAAGAAUUUGAACUCUUUAAACUCGUCACAAUGGGAUGACCAUUUUAUACCAUCUGUUCCAAUUUUAAGAAGAAACUUGCAUUAAUCGGUUGCCUAUAUAAUUUUCGAGAUAAAAAAAAAAUUAAAUAUCUUGUUGGCAGAAUGUUAAAUUUAUAAAAGCUAUUACAUCUUAUAAAAUUUCAGUUCAAUAUUCAUUAAAAUACUUUAUAAAAAAAACGAGUGUAUAAUAUACAUUGAUAAUAAUAUACAUUGAUAAAAUACAUAGCUUGUUUAAUUAAUAAAUAUAAUGUUAUAUUUUCAUCCGUGUUAUAACGAUGGACAAAUUUAGAAAAUAGAGUUGAAUGAUCCGUACAUAAUGCAAGUGAUAUUAUUUUCUCCAUACAGCACAUUUUAUGAGAAAAAUGUCUCAAGGGUGUCUUUAGAAUGCAUGAGCGCAUUUCGAACGUCCCAUGGACGUUCCUAGGACAUCUGUUGUUUCUUCAUCCACAAUAUUUCUGUGUCUUGUGUUCAGUACAUGAUCUCAUCAAUAAUGAAAUAACGUUGUACUUCGUUCCGAAGUAACGUAUACGUACUGAAGCAAAGUCUGAAAUAAACUUUUCACACAAAUUCUGCAAAUUUAUGAUACACUGCGUUGCGAUAUUUUCUAUCUCCCUUGUUGCACCAUACGUAAACGAUUUUCAUAAUUUAUUGUACGAGCGUAAAGUUUCUUGACGAUACGAGUGGCAAUCAAUUGGGGAUAGCAUUCUUAAUAUUUAAUGAGGCGUUUGGGGAGGGUACCGAGUUUCUACUUCUCUUUGAAAAGCAUGUGAGCUUAUUUUAUAUUACAUGGUAAGAAGAACGAGACAGUUUUUUUUACGUUCUCAUGGAUACUAAGGAGUCUUUAGGUUAUAAGGAUUUCGAGUGGGCCAUUGAAAUACAUCGUUUAGGUUUGGAAUUUCUAGGCUUGUGGCCUAAAAAUGAAGUUGCUAUAAAAAGUUUGUGGUCAAAACUUCAUGCAAGCAUUAUUUUAAUUUUAAUAAUAUUUGUUUCUAAUGUUCCGAUGAUAAGUGCGGCUAUGCAAUCUUGGGACAAUAUGGUAACUGUAAUAGACAUUUUACGUAUAACAUUACCAGUGGUUACAGCAUCAAUCAAAUAUAUCAUCAUGAGAUGGAAACAAACAGUUCUCUUAUCAAUUAUAAAUAUGAUGGCGGAAGAUUGGAUAGCGUUUAAGUUGGAUGCAGAGAGAGUUGUAAUGAUAAAACAAGCACGAGUUGCUCGAUUGAGCAUGGUUGUUGGUUAUGUUAUCAUCAUAAUCGCAUGUCUAACGAUAACUGUUCCUACUUAUUUUGGCAUUCAAGUACUAAACCUAAUGAAUGUUACGGGUCGAUGCAAAUUGUUACCACUACAGACGUAUCAUUUCUACAAUGUAGAUAAGAGUCCGCAGUUUGAGUUAACAUUUUUUUUUCAUGUUCUAACGAUCUUUGUAGCAGGUUCUGUUUACAUGAUUGUAGAUAUUUUCUUAUUAUUAUUAGUUCUUCAUAUUUGCGGCCAAUUAGAGAACUUUAGAUAUCGACUAGUUAGUUUAGUCUCAUGCGAAGAUUUUAACAAAGCAUUAAACAAUAUUGUGACAUCCCAUUUACGUCUUAUCAGAUUUAUCAACAAAAUUGAAAAUAUAUAUUAUUUAAUGAUGUUGUUAAUGGUACUUUAUCUUGCAAUAAUAAUUUGUUUAAACAGCUUUCUCUUUACUAUUUUACUUCAUGAAAGAAAAGUAAAUGGCGCUGUUGUUGCACAAAUAUUUUAUUUGAUGAUUUUUCUUCUUGUUACAUUGACAGGUACUUUUUUAUAUUGUUGUGCGGGAGAGCUUAUAAUGGAACAAUGCAAUGCACUAUAUCGUGCCUUGUGUGAACUUGAAUGGUACAAACUAGAAUCAAGAAAGGCAAGAAAUCUUAUUUUACUAAUGACACGAGCCCACAAUCCUUGUUGCAUCACUGCAGGAAAGAUUAUUCCAUUAACAUUGACUACUUUUUGCAGUAUAUUGAAAACAUCGUCUGGCUACAUGUCUUUCUUAGUAACACAACAUGGUUAAUUCCUAACUAUAUCUAUGGGUUUUUAGACCCGAACAGUUUAAUUUAUUUCGUACCGUUGGCCUUAUGGGAUAUUCAAUUGUACAUACAAGCACUUUAAAUCUUCUUCUAUCAAUCACCAUAAGGUGAUGGUUCAAUUACUUUAAAUGUUCAAAGAGGACGCUUUAAAAGUCUGAUUUGGAUUAUUUGGAUCUACAUGAUUAAUUGGUAAGUUUUUCAUAUUUAAAAUCGAAUAUUCUAAUGAAAAGAUGGUUUUAUAUAUAGAAAAUGUAUUAUCAUUUUACAAGUGAGACGAUAAUUGGCUGCACUUACUUCAAAUAAUAAUUAGAAGUAAAAUUAUUUGUAUUUUAUGUGUUGAAAAAAAAAACAAUUAAAAUCCAUUAAAGCUUGUGGAAAAUACAGCUAAAAUGUCUCGGGUUCAAAAUACUAAUAAAUAUGUAUUAGGGUGCCUUAUCAUAAAUGUAGUUGAAAUGUGAUUAAAUAAGUUAAUAAGUUAAAUUACUUACUAAAGUAAUAGAGCUAUUUACAGCAAAGUAAUUGUGAAUAUUGGAUAGUUGUAUUUAACAUAUAUGUUACGUAAAUAUAAAGUUUUGCUUUGAAUUAA